AACCGCAUAGGGUAGGAAGCCCGGGACUAUUCUCCGGUCUUGAAGACCCUCAGAGACCACAAGGAGACAGACUUCACCAAACCUCAAACACAAGGUUUUAUUGUUUAAUUCUACCAGUAGUGAGCUCGUCCAGCCAGCUGACACAGCAGCUACCUGGAGGAAGUCAAGUCCCUCGUCUAUUGCCAGAAUUUAAAUGAAAAAACAAAUUACAGAAUUACAUAAGGUUAGUCAUCCAACAGCACAUAGAAUGGAGAUGAAGAAAGACAGGCAAAAUGAGGAAGAAAAGUCCCCCUUAAGCCUGGUGAAAUGAGUAUGAAGUUGACCUCGAGGGACAGAUUCACUGAGUCCAUCCAGGGCUUAUGGUGAUUUGUGUUUAACUAGAAACCACUCCAGAUGAAUGCUCUGGGUAGGACUUGGGCUUUGGGGAUACUGAUCCCCAUCAUGAUUUUGGUGCUAGAUGGGACUGGUGAGUGACAUUCUUAGAUUUUCAGGAAAUGAAAUUAUCUUUCUGGCUAACUUUAGACUAUGAUAAUCCUCCUGUGUCAGCCUCCUGACUCCUGGGAUUACAGGCAUACACCUUUGUUGCAGGCUAACAAGGCACUUUAACACUCUACAGGUUACUUUAAAGCUGAUUUUUUCAUUAAAUUUUAAAAUUAUUUUACAUGCUAAGCAGUUUCCCCUCUCCUCUCCUCAUGUUCCCUCCCUGCACACCUCCUUUCACCUCCCUCCUCCCUCCAUCCACUCCUCAGAAAGGAUCAGGCCUCCCAUGGAGAGUCAUAAAGCCUGGCAUAUUAAGUUGAGGCAGGACCAAACUUCUCCCUGCAUCAAAGCUGAGCUUUUCUACAGGUAUUCCAUGGGAUAGAUUAUUCUAUUCUAUUAGUCGUUAUGGUGAAUUUGAAGAUUAGUGGCUGCUUGAAAAGAAAUGCUUUGCUAGACUUCUUGCUUGUCCCAUCUUUAAGGUUGAAACAUAUCAAAAGACAAAAGCAAACAAACAAAACCACAAACAAACAAACAAAAACGAGAAAAACCUCUGAGAAGCGAAGCAGUGCAAUCCAGAGUAAAGUGGAGGCGCUGAACUUAGCCAGGAAGGGACAGUCCUCCAGGAUAAUAAGGGAAAGAGGGACAUGGUGGCCUGGAUGCAGGUCAGCUUAUAGACUGGUGUCACCGAUUGUGGAGCCUGUCUUCUUGAUUUUUAAUUUAAAUUAAAAACAAUCCUAUUUUGCAUACCAAUCUCUGUUUUAUUUCCUUACCAUCCUCCCAUUCCCCCACCAUCUCUCCAUCCCAUGCCCCAUUCACUCCUCAGAGAGGGGGAGGCCUCCCAUGGGGGGAAUCAUCAAAGAAAGUCUGUAACCUCAUUUGAGGCAGGACCAAGGCCCUCCCC